CAGGUGUACACCACCACGCCUGGCUAAUUUUUCUAUUUUCUGUAGAGAUAGGGUCUCGCUCUUGCUCAUGUUAGAGCCGGUUUCCUUCGGCCCCAGGAACAGAGAGGCAGAAUCGCUGAGGCUGCAAAGCACAGAGGAGUUUAUUGGCUAGCUCGAGCUCGGGUCCAGGUCCCAGCACCAACGCAGCGGCCUCCCUACGAACCAGGACCCCGCCCUGGGGUCCCUUCCCCACCUUCCUUCUGUGUGGGACUCAGCACAGCCGUAUGCUGAAGGACAAGGUGAGGCCUGUGGCCAGACCACCCCAGAUGUACCCACUCUGGUCUGAGAGACAAGGUGGCAGCGGAAGGUCAUGAAGGACAGUCCCGUCCUUCCACACGGAUGGCAGCUCCUCACUCCGAGCCUGCAGUGAAACAGCCCUGCAAGUUCGGGACACCCUGACUUCGCCACGGUGGGGGCCAGUCUCUGGGAAGAAGGUGCCUGGUUUAGUCAUUUCAAAAUACUGACAUUUCUACCCAGAGUACAGUAAACCACAUAUUGGCUUAGCAUUUAUUAUUUCCCCAAAGUCAAAAACAGAAUACUUCUUCCUCAGGUUUCUUAGCUGUGAGUGAACUACUAUAAUUUGCCAUACGUCAAAUUAACCGCUGACUGAUCGGUCACUGUGAGUUAAGACUAUAUUGAAGUUAUCUCCUUUGGGAAUUCUGACUAUUGUUUUUAAUCAUUUUCAUGUCAGGAGGGAAGAAAGUCCUGAAGAUGUAUUUCGCUGUGUUUGUACUUAUUAGAUAGCUUCCUGUGUUACACCAGUGAGUCCUAGAAGAAUUGAGAUCAGGGAACUUCAAAGUGAAAAAUUCUAACUAAAAAGUAGCACUUUCUCUUUCAGAUUAGCCAUAAUUUUUCAAAUAGUUUGACCAAAUUAUGGAAGAUAGUGUUUAUUCACUAGUUGUAAUUAACAUUUGUGUACUUACUGUGACCUCCCUGCCUCAUGUAUCAAUUCUCAUGUAUUUUAGGAAGAAAAGCUUUUAUCCAGCAUUAUUCUCUAUGUUUUGUUUUCCUACUUUGAAGUGGCAUCUGAAGCUAUUCAGUCCUCUGAAUUUGAAAAUAAUCUUUUCUUUGGAACUAAGGGCAGUGGUUCUCAAACUUAAGUGUGUAUCAGUGACAUGCAGAGGGUUAGUCUAAACACUGAUAGCUGGGGCCAUUCCCAGAGUUUCUGAGCCAGCAGGUCUGGGGAGAACUUGCAUUUCUAAGCAAGAUCUCAGGUGCUGCUGGUGGGUGGUCCAGGAACUCCACUUUGAGAACCACUGCUCUAGAUGAAGAGGAGACAGCAGCUGAGUUGGCAUGCCUUCCCCAACUCCCACCUCACUGCAGCCCCUUCCUGAGUCCCUUUCCCCUUCCAGGACUUGGCACACACUCCCCUCCCUGACAGCCCCCACCCCGCAGACCUCCACACUUUGCAUACAGCUGGAGCACAGCCCGGCUCUCAGAAGUCACUGAGCUACUGGCACACAAUGGGGCAAAGAAAGGAGCGGCUGUAGCCAAAGCCUCAGCAUAAAGACUUAGCCUGCUGGCAAAUGCUGGGGUCCCCAUUGUCCAGGCACACUCUCUCACCUCCCCCUUCUUAAUUUUUUAUUGUAAUUAACAUAACUAAACUGGGAACUCACAUCUUUGUCCUCAUCUCAGCCACUCUAACCUGCAGGCUCUUUGGAAACAUGGUAGAAAGAAACAAUGGUCAAAGUGAGAAACCUCAGGACCUUGCACAAGAUGGACGUCCAGAGAGCAUUUUCUUUAUCAUUUUCAAAUCAAAACACUCCCAGCCUCCUUACUGGAGGAAACAGGCAUGUAACAGCUUAAACAGGCUCCUCACAGGAGCAGAUGCUGUCUGCUGCGUUCUCAGCGUAGCGGGUGCAUGGGGCAGGGCCGGCACCCUCAUCAUCAGUGGGAUCAGAUUAGCUUUCUGUCCUCCUGCAAGGUCACCAGCUGCAAAUGCAAAUUUGCAAUGAGAAAGGGUUCCGUUUCCAAUCUCUACCAGUCUGGGGGGGCGGGGGAGGGGUCAGUUACCUAGGUGACAGGCUGUGCUGUUUUCCUGGUGGGUAAAUUCACAGGGAGAAGUGGAAGGGAAAAGAUUAAAAUGAGCCUGGGCCAUGAACUAGCCCAAUUCACUAGUGAAGGCUGACCUCCGGCCACCACUGAGAACUGCGGACCACGUUUCAGCCUGUUCUCUAACUUCCUAAUCCCUUUUCCAAUCAUGCCAUGGAUUACAAAUUUGAUUGUUCACUGUUUAUUUUUCAAUUCAUAUUCAUUAGCCAAAAAAAAAAAAAACCAGUAGUGCAAUUUGUAUUUUUCACAAGUGAGUUAUACUGCUUCAUAGCAAUUAAUGCUAAAUUCUCAAGUUAUAAUAGGACAAUGAAGCUUGUACGAGUAUACAGACUUUUCUUUCCCUGUCUUAGAAUUAUAGAGAAGUACCAACUCUUGAAUAACUCUGUAAGAUUGUAGUUUAAAUGUAUCUAUGUAUCCAUCCACGUGCCUCAUUCCUUCCUUCCUUCUCUUCUCCUCUGUCUCUUCUCAGUCUUUGUCUCUUUCUCCAGUCCUGUCAACGUUAACAACCCAAAGCUCAGUUUGUGCUCCUUCUUUCCCCCAGGGCCUUGUCCCCAGAGUCCGUGCGACUGACCACUAAAACAGGAUGGACAAAUAAAGGAACAAAUAAAGAAACGAACACAAACUAACUAGGGUCCAAUUGGGUUUACCUUGAAAUAGAGUCCCUCUCUCUUUGCUCCCAGCUGGGCUCCUUAUGAAGACACGAAGACCCAGUGGGGACCAUCAUUUCAGCUUAAAAGACAUUCAUUCUUGACUUUCCAAUAAAUCUGCUGUGAGGACAGAGUGAUGCCUGAUUUCUCUGCAGAGAAAAUACAUAGAGCUUUCUUAUGACCUUCACCUGGGUAUGAGCUUCACUCCCACAAGCAGCUGUGUCAAGAAAGAGAGAACAGAGCUGGGAGAUUCCUUCCAGGACCACGAGGACACUGAAUGGGGUCACUUCAUGUCAGCUACUGGGAGGUCAGCUGGCUGGACCAACGCCCAAGGUCCCAGCAAACACACCCUGAAUGCCUCCCUUGGCUGGUUGCUGGUUGCCAUGGCAACACGACAGCCCACAAAGACAGGCAGGGUGGGGCCGAGCAGGAAAAGACCAGAAGGCUGAGCUGUUGCAUGGGGGCAUGGUGGGCCCGGGAUUCCGGAAAGAGCUUCAAGUACUUGAGACACUUAAUGGCACUUUUUUUUCUAAUGAAGGAAAAAUGAUAAAUGGUGAUGAUGAAGAUAAUUGCACCAUGGUGGAGAAAAGGAAAGGAAAUCUUAAAAACCUGGAAGGGACUAGCUUCAUCCCAUGAAGGCAUGGGAUAGUGAGAAAACAAUGUCCAGCGGAGUUUACAGUCCUGUGGCAGGAGGAGAGGUAAAGCUGGAAAGGAACAACUGGUCUUUGAAACUGAGAAAAAAAGGAAAUGCAAGAGUCUAGGAGGCGCCCUCCAAGGCAGCCUGGGGCAGUGAGUGACCUUGGAGAUGACAAAGCCCAACUUGUGUUGGAAAUGGAACCGCAGCAGCCGCCCUCUGCAGCCCGGGAGCCACCAACAGUUUGAUAUUCAGUGCUGCCGGAUGGCUGGAGAUUUUGCACUGCCUUGACUUAAAGUUUUCUUCCUUCCUAUGAAAUCAGACCUUUCUUGUAAUGUGAAAAUGGAUUUAAGUGGCUGUUUCAAGCAGUCAUCACAAGUCACAUCAGACACAUAAUGCAAAAAAAGUGUGGGGCUGGUUUCUAGCAGGCGCAGCUUCUUGUUAAGGGUUCGGGCUCCAGCCCUCUGGAAAUCUGCUCACCCUCUGAGGAGGGAUGAGGCCUUCAGACACCAGCGGUGCGUAAGUGCCCUGGGCUGGCGCUGCGGGCGGGAGCACUCCUGCAACGGCCGGCCAGGAGCUGCAACACAUUGUGACCUUAGUCAGAGGGACCACUGCUAAGAAGGGCUCUGGCCUUCCUGGCUGUCUUGCCUGGGUUAACUGAAAAGCCCUACGUCUUGAGUGACCAAGGCCAACAUUAAACAUUUCUCUAUAAAUUAAUCUGAGUGGAGAGUGAACAGAACCAAUGUUAUUACUUCCAAAAGAGUGAAAACAAUGCCAAGAUUCUGUUUAGAGUCCAGUCGGGCUCAUUUUAUAGCAAAUCAUUAGCCGUAUAUGAACCUUCCUUGGAACGCCAAUCAAUCAUGUAGAUCACAAUUUGAAGGAAUGCCCCAUUCUAGAACUUGCUUUCAAACACUUUCUUCAGAAGAUGCUACAGAAAGUUGUCCAGUAAAACAAAAAGUCACAUAUUCUUUGGACUGAGUUUAACUUCUGCCUUUGCUUCCUGGAAUUGAUCCUAGUGAUGGAUCCUGAUGAUCCUGCUGCUCUCUCCCAACCCACAGCCCAGGAAAGCCCAGCCGCCACUGAUGCUCAUCUGAUAGGAGUUUCUCCCUGAGGAUCUGUCUGCUCUAAGACCUUGGUUAACACUUAUAUCUAUAUAAGAAUACUUGAGGAGAAUAUCCAGUAAAUGUAAAGAGCUCAAGGCAGACAACUCAAUAAAAAGAUGGGCGAAGGACGGGAAAAAACAUUAAAACCAAAAUGAAAUACCACCAUAUACCCAUCAGAAUGGAUAAAAUGAAAAAGACGGGCAGUUUC